rnacentral:rRNA from 1 species
CCCUUAGAUGUUCUGGGCUGCACGCGUGCUACACUGAUUACUUCAACAAGUGUUUUAACUGGAGAGUUUGCGUAAUCCUGAAAUGUUAUCGUGAUGGGAGUAGAGUAUUGUAUUUGUUAAUCUUUAACGAGGAAUUCCUAGUAAGUGUAGGUUUAUAAGUUGUUCUGAUUACGUCCCUGCCCUUUGUACGCACCGCCCGUCGCUCCUACCGAUUGAUUGAUCCGGUGAAUUACAUAGAAUUUUGCGUUUUACAUGACGGAAGAUGAAGUGUUUUAAACCUUAUCAUUUAGAGGAAGGAGAAGUCGUAACA